GAAGCCCGCCAGACCGCCGCUGGUGCAAUCUGGGAAACCAGGCACUGGAGGAACGUCCGGACUGCAUAGGGCAGCGUAGCAGCUAACAGCUGUCCACCGCGAGGUGAGGAUCAGAGCAACAGAGACGAGUCGCAGCGGGGCAACCUGCUGCGGGUGAAACGGGCAAUCUCUACGCGCAGCAAUACCAAGUAGGCACACGUUGACGGGGCCCCCGGAGUGUGCGGGUAGGUAGCACCGAGCCGGUGGGGCGACCCCCGGCCCAGAUUAAUGGCGGUCACACCGAGGGCAACCUCGGCGCACAGAAUCCGGCUUAUCGGCGGACUUCACAC
rfam:Curvibacter sp. GWA2_64_110 gwa2_scaffold_3069, whole genome shotgun sequence.